CCUCACAGCGCCGGCAUACAGAUAUACGGAGAGAAGACUAACUGCUGAAGGAAAUACCUUGUAUAUUAGAAUGUCGGUAUAAAGGCUUUGACUGCGUCGUCGCCUCGGCACAGCACACGCCGGCUGUAGGAGAGACGAUGCGGCACGUUACCUGAUACCUUAUUCACGGACAUGUUGUACAAUAUAGUAGCUCUGUAGGUAUAAUGUAUCAAAACCAUUCGAAUUUAACAUGCCUACAAUAAAGUAUAUUUGAUCAUGUA